GGUACCUAAAAAUAUAUCCGAAAUGUAAAUUAAUAGAAAAACGUCUUAUGUAUAUGUUAAUUUUUGUUGAUCUUCUGAUCUUUCUGCGGGCUCAUCCAGAGCCCGUUAAAUAAUAACGCGACACCUUGUGAACUUACUGAACCGCUCAAUAAUGAAGGUGUAGCCCAGUUUUGCGGGGAAGAAAAAACAUAAAAGCAUAAUAGGCAAAGACUUGUGUUUGACAAAGGUUUCUUGAGUGACAAUGCACACGCAGGGUUUCUUGACCAAGUUAAGUCUCAAAGGAGACAUAUGAUGGGUGUCCCUAAUUCUGUAGAUCAAUUUUGGAUAAUGUAAGCAAAAAAGCUUCUCUAGUAAUAUGUUUUUUUUUAAGCUUACCCCUGAUGUAUCUUCUCCGGAUAUCGAAACUCGUUGAAAAUGUGGCACGAAAUCAUUUUCCUCGAAAUUAAACGAAGGAUCAUCGAUGUAGUCGGGUACUCCAGGUCCAAUCGACGGUUCAUAAUGACUGCGCCGCUCUUCGAGAUCCUUUGCGGCUCUAUAUAUAUAUA